rnacentral:rRNA from 1 species
UAAGUCUCUGGUAGAAUCCUGGUAGUACUUAACUGGUAGGGUAAUUGCGUGGAGAUACUAUUAGACUUGAGACCGGGAGAGGUUAGAGGUACUCCCAGGGUAGAGGUGAAAUUCUGUAAUCCUGGAAGGACCGCCUGUUGCGAAGGCGUCUAGCUGGAACGGUUCUGACGGUGAGGGACGAAAGUUAGGGGCGCGAACCGGAUUAGAUACCCGGGUAGUCCUAACUGUAAACGAUGCGGACUUGGUGUUGGGGUGGCUUUGAGCUGCUCCAGUGCCGAAGGGAAGCUGUUAAGUCCGCCGCCUGGGAAGUACGGUCGCAAGACUGAAACUUAAGGAAUUGGCGGGGGAGCACCACAACGCGUGGAGCCUGCCGGUUUAAUUGGAUUCAACGCCGGACAUCUCACCAGAGGCGACAGCUGUAUGAUAGCCAGGUUGAUGACUUUGCUUGACUAGCUGAGAGGAGGUGCAUGG